GGAUUGUACAUAUUUAUAAUUUGAAAUUCGCCUCAGCCUUUAUACCACAGAUACUCUAGGGUCUAUAGCAGGGGUACUCAAUUAGAAAAUCAAAAGGUCCACUCACCAAUUUCCAAUCUGUCCAGGGUCCGGAACAGUGACGAUGUAAUUCAAAAAUAAGAACUAAAAAAAAAAAGGCAAUAAAUCCACGAAGAAUAUUUGAACUAUGCACAAAGGAUGAUCUGUCCACAUCAGUGUGAAAAGUGACGCCUUUUUUGUGCCACCAGUUCUUUAAACUUGGGCACAAAAGGUGUGAGGGCCAGGCGUAGACACUGGUGUAAGUGUUCAUUAGUAAGUGUAGUCCUGUAUUUGUUCUUCACCAUAGUCAUUGGAACAUGGUGAGAAUGUUCAUUCUUGCAAGACGGGGACACCUGCUGCAGGGACCAUCUUCGUCCAAAAGGUGGCUGGGUCACAAAGAGAUUCCUGCAGUGCAAGGUUUUCCUGAAGCUCAAUCAGCUCUGAUUGAAAAGAAGCAGCACUAGCCCAUGGGCAGACCUUCAGGGCUUCAAUUGAGAAUUCUGUUAUAUUUUUCAACAGGAAUGGAUUUUCAAUGCACAGUAAUGGUGCGUUUUAAUAUCCAUCCGUCUCGGAGCUCCGAGGACGUUGCCUAGCGACAUGCACAAACACGCCCCUUUUCCUCGGAAGUCGAACUCGCCAUCUCGUUUGAACUCAGCGGUGACCGAGCGAGGCUUCCGAGAUAGAAUUGAAGAUGGAUGCGCCCAGUGUGACAUCUCCCGCCCCUCUGCCUGCCACUGACCCACUGCCUUCAAAUGCCCCACUGCCCACUGUCACCGAGACUUUCCUGAAAGACCACACCCUAUACCUAAUUGACCUCAUGCGGCUGCAAUUAGAGGCAGAGGGUAGGGGCCCUCCCAGGUCCCUCCAGGACCUGAGCCAGCGCCUGAAGCUGGUCAGGAACUCGAAGAAGCUGCUGUGGGAGGAGAUUGCUGGCAAGCUGACCGACGAUUUUAAAUGUACCUUUUCCCCAGACAAGGUAGCUCGUAAGUGGAACACGUUAGUGGAGGCAUAUAAAAAAGUAAAGGACCACAAUUCGUCCACAGGGAGGGGUCCUGGUAAAUUUCAGUUUUUUCCGAGAUGGAUGACCUCAUGGGAGGUCACCAUGACAUAGUCUUCCCUGUUGUGGGAACAGCCAUGGGCCUGGAUGUGCGCAGGCCAGGUGCCCUGCAGGCCCUGCAGGUCAGUGUGUCUGCACCAGAUGCCUCACCUUCCUCGUCCACCAGUGCCGUCGCUCCAGCUCAAUCUGGAACUCCAUCACCUCCUCCGUCAUCCCGCGGUGCUCCUCGCACAGCUACCACCAUGCCCCCUGCUAACACCCCAAGGAGGCCACGCAAGCGCCAGAGGGAGGAGGACCUGUUGACGUUCCUUAGGGAGUCUGAGGCAGCCUCCCAAGCGGCCGCCCAAAAACGGCACGCUGAGACCCUUGCCCAAAUGAAGGAAGCCCAGGAGGGGCUCCAGAGUUUGCUUGGCCAGAUGGUGGCGAAGAUGUAAAAUAGAUGUCAAAUAAUUGUUUAUUUUUCAUUGGAAAAUGUUAAUGUGUUAAUGUAUUUUGGUUAAUGUUCAAAUUUUUUAUAGAUAUUAUAUGUUUUAUUUUAUAUUAUAUGUAAUUUGAUAUAUUUUAUUUUAACUUUUCCCUGUUAUGUUGUUUGUCCGUGGGCCCUGUUUUGUUGUUUGUCCUUGGCCCGGAGGAUAGAAGAGGAAAAAUGCACACUUCUGUGCAAUAGCAAUUGUUUAAUAAAAUCUAUUUUGAAAAAAAAAACACUGGCCUGUGAAGCAUUAAAUUUAACACUUUGUAUUACAACGCC
ensembl:lncRNA